GGAGCUUCUUAGGAAGUGACGGCGUGCCUUUUGCAUAAUGAACCUACGAGUUACCGUCGUCGGCAAGGUUAAGUGCUAUGAAGCACGUAAGCCGAAGCGAAAGCGAGUCUGAAUAGGGCGCAUAGUCGGCGGUGGUAGACGCGAAACCAAGUGAUCUACCCUUGUCCAGGUUGAAGUCCCGGUAACACGGGAUGGAGGACCGAACCAAUAAGCGUUGAAAAGCUUCUGGAUGAGGUGAGGGUAGGAGUGAAAGGCCAAUCAAACUUGGAGAUAGCUCGUACUCCCCGAAAUGCAUUUAGGUGCAGCCUCGGGCGUUCCCUGUGUGAGGUAGAGCGACUGAUUGGAUGCGAGGGCUUCACCGCCUAUCAAGUCCAGACAAACUCCGAAUGCACACAGGCUAAGCCCGGGAGUGAGGGCGUGGGUGCUAAGGUCCACGCCCGAGAGGAGAAGAAUCCUGACCACCGGCUAAGGCCCCGAAAUAUAGGCUAAGUUAAACUAACGAAGUGUGGUCCCCGUGACAGCUAGGAUGUUGGCUUGGAAGCAGCCAUUCAUUCAAAGAGUGCGUAACAGCUCACUAGUCGAGGGUCCGGGCAUGGAUAAUAAUCGGGUAUAAGUCAGAUACCGAAGGCGCGGGAUAGUAAUGUAUAUUAAAAGUAUCGGUAGGGGAGCAUUCCAUCGGCGUUGAAUGGUGAGGGUAACCGAUCCUGGAGCUUAUGGAAAAGCAAAUGUAGGUAUAAGUAACGAUAAAAAGGGUGAGAUUCCCUUUCGCCGAAAGACCGAGGUUUCCCGGGCGAUGCCAAUCAGCCCGGGGUUAGUCGGGUCCUAAGUCUCAGCCGAACGGCGAAGGCGAUGGCAGAUGCGGUUAAUAUUCCGCAACUCGCAUAUACAGUGAUGUGGAGACGGAGCAGUGACACUGCCGCGCCCUGACGGAAUAGGGCGUUUAAGUGCGUAGGCUAUGAGGAAGGCAGGCAAAUCCACCUUCCGAGCUGAACCAUGAAAGUACAGGUAAUCCUUCGGGAUAACUUGAGUGCAGGUAAUCAUACUUCCGAGAAAAUCCGCUAAACUUAAUGUAUAUGCGACCCGUACCGCAAACGGACACACGUGGUCGGGUAGAAUAUACUAAGGCGUUGAGAGAUUCAUGGUUAAGGAACUAGGCAAAUUGACCCCGUAACUUCGGGAUAAGGGGUCCUCAUAGCAAUAUGAGGCGCAGAGAAUAGGUCCAGGCAACUGUUUAACAAAAACACAGGGCUGUGCAAACUCGAAAGAUGACGUAUACAGCCUGACACCUGCCCGGUGCUGGAAGGUUAAGAGGAGAUGUCACUAGUAAUAGGAAGCAUUGAAUUGAAGCCCCAGUAAACGGCGGCCGUAACUAUAACGGUCCUAAGGUAGCGAAAUUCCUUGUCGGGUAAGUUCCGACCUGCACGAAUGGUGUAAUGAUCCGGACGCUGUCUCAACCAUGAUCUCAGUGAAAUUGUAGUAUCGGUGAAGAUGCCGAUUACCCGCGAUGGGACGAAAAGACCCCGUGAACCUUUACUAUAGCUUAACGUUGUAAUUGGGCAGUCGAUGUGUAGGAUAGGUCGGAGGCUUUGAAGCAGGCACGCCAGUGUUUGUGGAGCCGCUGUUGAAAUACGACCCUUUGGCUGUCUGGUUCCUAACUCUCUUAUGAGAGGACCGCGUUUGGUGGGUAGUUUGACUGGGGUGGUCG
rnacentral:rRNA from 1 species